rnacentral:rRNA from 1 species
GACGAACGCUGGCGGCGUGCCUAAUACAUGCAAGUAGAACGCUGAAGAGAGGAGCUUGCUCUUCUUGAAUGAGUUGCGAACGGGUGAGUAACGCGUAGGUAACCUGCCUUGUAGCGGGGGAUAACUAUUGGAAACGAUAGCUAAUACCGCAUAACAAUGGGUGACACAUGUCAUUUAUUUGAAAGGGGCAAUUGCUCCACUACAAGAUGGACCUGCGUUGUAUUAGCUAGUAGGUGAGGUAACGGCUCACCUAGGCGACGAUACAUAGCCGACCUGAGAGGGUGAUCGGCCACACUGGGACUGAGACACGGCCCAGACUCCUACGGGAGGCAGCAGUAGGGAAUCUUCGGCAAUGGGGGCAACCCUGACCGAGCAACGCCGCGUGAGUGAAGAAGGUUUUCGGAUCGUAAAGCUCUGUUGUAAGUCAAGAAUGAGUGUGAGAGUGGAAAGUUCACACUGUGACGGUAGCUUACCAGAAAGAGACGGCUAACUACGUG